rnacentral:lncRNA from 1 species
AUAAUGGCCUCUUUUUUCCUGUAUUUUAUCCCUUACAAUAUGGCAUGAAAGAGAGCAUUAUCCAAUCCUAGAGAAUGUCUGGGGCAUCAGAAUUUGGUGACUUGUUCACAGCUGCAUAGAAAAUCUAUAGUUAGAAGUGGACUGAAAUAUCCUGAAUUAGUAAGUUUCCAUGUGACCAGCACUCAGAACAGUGGGCGAGGGCUCAGUCCAGUGGAGUAGGAUUCAGACCUGUGGGUGAGGGCCCCUGCUGCUGCCCCAGGCCCAGUGCCUGUGCUGUUAGGAUGGUAUAUAAGUGUGGUUGGCUAGGAUAUACUAGGGCUACGAAUUCAUAAGAACAGUCUAUAUUUUGCUCACCUGACCCUUCCUUAAAACCAUGGGGACAUUUCAAGACUGCUGUCUCUGAUAUUUUUGCCACUAUUAUAAUGCUGUCCAUUAGGCAAAGAGUGCUUGAGACACUGUCUUAGUCCAUGUGUGCUCCUAGAACAAUGUAUCAUACACAGGUAGCUUAUAAAUAACAGGAGCAUAUUCCUCACAGUUCUGGAGGCUGGCAGUCCAAUAUCAAGGCAGGCUGGGUGUUUGGUGAAGCUCCCCUUCCUCAUAGAUGGUGCUUUCUCUCUUGAGUCCUCACAGGGGCCCACCUUCCUCACAGAUGGCGCUUUCUCACUGAGUCCUCACAUGGGGCCCGCCUUCCUCACAGAUGGCACUUUCUUACUGAGUCCUCACGUGGGGCCCCCCUUCCUCAUAGAUGGCGCUUUCCCACUGAGUACUCACACGAGGCCCGCCUUCCUCAUAGAUGGCGCUUUCUCACUGAGUCCUCACACGAAGGCCCCCUUCCUCAUAGAUGGCGCUUUCUCACUGAGUCCUCACUCGAGGCCCCCCUUCCUCAUAGAUGGCGCUUUCCCACUGAGUCCUCACACGAGGCCCCCCUUCCUCAUAGAUGGCGCUUUCUCACUGAGUCCUCACAUGAGGGCCCCCUUCCUCAUAGAUGGCGCUUUCUCACUGAGUCCUCACACGAGGCCCCCCUUCCUCAUAGAUGGCGCUUUCUCACUGAAUCC